rnacentral:lncRNA from 10 species
ACAUGAGCCACUGCGUCCGGCCUAAAAAUCCUAUAUUUGCAAUCUAUGUGACCACAACUGAUUUAAACCCAGAUGAAGAUAAGGUAUCAAAAUAAACCUCAGGCAGACUGAGCUGUGCCACAAUUUUAACACUAACUGAUGAAGGCAGGAUGCUUCUCCUGCUCAGCUGAGCAUCCUGUCUCCCAAACUCAAAAAACUAAAAUCCUGGAAUCUUAGAACUGGAAGUGACCCUUGUCUUUGUGACUGUCCUUGAGCUCUGCUACCCAUGAGUUUUGCCUCCAAAAUUGUCCCUUUUAUAUGAAGUAGGACUCUGCGCAGCCAGAAUUUUUUGUGUUACCUCUUUGUAAUCAGAUAGGGCACAACUGGCUGAGAUUGUUGUCAGUAUGUGGGUGUGGCUGGAAAAAAAUACCCUCUGUGACCAAUAGUUCUUUCUUCACUGUACACAGCUUUCAUACUGUUUCUCAUGAAUAAAACAUAUUCACAUGACA